UCGGUCACCUGCGGCCGGGGCGGCCCCGCCGCGCUCCGCCGGCCCCGCCGGGGCGGCCGCGGCCUCGCCGGGAGCGGCCGGGAAAAGCCGGAGAAACAAAGAACAUGGCGAGGGGAGGUGGAGCUUACGCCGCCUCAGCCGCUGGGAAGGGCGCUCCGGGGGCGUACAAUGCCCGCCGCGGGGCGGGUUCGCUUCUCUCCGCCCCCUUUCCCCGCCCUUGCGGCCGGGCUGGCGGGGGGCUGGGGCGGAACGGAACGGGACGGGCUGAACUGGACUGGAUUGGACUGGACUGGAGGUGGCCGUCGGGAGUGGGUCCGCUGUCUGCCGCAAGUUUCGCCCAGAGUGGGAAAGUUGUGCGGGAUCCGUGCAGAUUCCUGGAAAUCUGAGGCGCAGACUUCGGCGGACGAAGAAUGUAAUUCUCCCUGGAGGUGUGGGUAUCUCUUAUGAAGCGGACUGAAGUAGGAUCAGCUGAUAUCCAAGAAGCACAACUUCAGGACAUGCAAGAGUACUUUGGAGUGAACUGGCAGUAAGCCUUGCAGUACCAUGGUGGCAAUAAUACUGGCUAUUCUCUGGAGAUGCUGAAGCUCAGCCUUAUUUUGAACUUCAUUCUUAGACCCUCCAACUUGUUCACAAAGGACUUAAAACUGAUUUGGAUUCAUAUGGUCAUGGGUAUGGAUUUUUUCCUCCCAGUGCUUGACAUCUGCAUGUUUCCAGGAGUCAGUGGUGAAGUCACUAAUAGGUCUGCUGACAUUUGGUCUGUUCUUGGGAGCUCUGAGUGACAGGUAUUGUAAACAUCCUACACUCUCAGCUGUGGAAACUAAGAAAGCUGGGAGAAGGCUGUUUACUCUCCCUGCCUUGGAAAUCAUCUGGAGGGCAAGGAUGGAAUAUUGUGUUGAUUGUAUUUCUGACAGCCUGUAUUUCAUGCUUUACAUUAUGGUGUCAGUAAACAAAUUAUGUCAUUA